AUUGACCUCGGAUCAGGUAGGGAUACCCGCUUGAACUUAAGCAUAUCAAUAAGCGGAGGAAAAGAAACCAACAGGGAUUGCCUCAGUAACGGCGAGUGAAGCGGCAACAGCUCAAAUUUGAAAUCUGGCCCCGUCGGGGUCCGAGUUGUAAUUUGUAGAGAGUGUUUCGGGUGAGACCGCGGUCUAAGUCUAUUGGAACAUGGCGUCAUAGAGGGUGAGAAUCCCGUAUGUGACCGUGGUUCGAGCCCAUGUGAAGCCUCUUCGACGAGUCGAGUUGUUUGGGAAUGCAGCUCAAAAUGGGUGGUAAAUUUCAUCUAAAGCUAAAUACUGGCUGGAGACCGAUAGCGCACAAGUAGAGUGAUCGAAAGAUGAAAAGCACUUUGGAAAGAGAGUCAAAAAGUACGUGAAAUUGUUGAAAGGGAAGCGCUUGCAACCAGACCUGUCCGUAGGUGAUCAGCCGCUGUUCUCAGCGGUGCACUCGCUCUGCGAUCAGGCCAGCAUCGGUUUCGGCGGUCGGAUAAAGGCCUUGGGAAUGUAGCUUCCUUCGGGGAGUCUUAUAGCCCUCGGUGCAAUGCGGCCAGCCGGGACCGAGGACCGCGCUUCGGCUAGGAUGCUGGCGUAAUGGUUGUAAGCGACCCGUCUUGAAACACGGACCAAGGAGUCUAACAUCUAUGCAAGUGUUUGGGUGUUAAACCCAUGCGCGGAAUGAAAGUGAACGGAGGUGAGAACCCUUUAGGGCGCAUCAUCGACCGAUCCAGAUGUCUUCGGAUGGAUUUGAGUAUGAGCAUAGCUGUUGGGACCCGAAAGAUGGUGAACUAUGCCUGAAUAGGGUGAAGCCAGAGGAAACUCUGGUGGAGGCUCGCAGCGGUUCUGACGUGCAAAUCGAUCGUCAAAUUUGGGUAUAGG
rnacentral:rRNA from 1 species